AGAGUUUGAUCCUGGCUCAGGAUGAACGCUGGCGGCGUGCCUAAUACAUGCAAGUCGAACGAGGUGCUUUUGUAGCAAUACGAGAGUAUCCUAGUGGCGAACGGGUGAGUAACGCGUUGGUGACCUACCCCAAAGUGUGGGAUAACAGUCCGAAAGGAUUGCUAAUACCGCAUGUGGUCAUUGGAUUUAGAAACUGAUGACUAAAGGAGCGAUUCGCUUUAGGAGGGACCUGCGUCCCAUCAGCUAGUUGGUGAGGUAAUGGCUCACCAAGGCGACGACGGGUAGGGGACCUGAGAGGGUGGCCCCCCACAAUGGAACUGAAACACGGUCCAUACACCUACGGGUGGCAGCAGUAGGGAAUAUUGCACAAUGGGCGAAAGCCUGAUGCAGCAACGCCGCGUGUGCGAUGAAGGCCUUCGGGUCGUAAAGCACUUUUCUGAGAGAUGAGAAAGGACAGUAUCUCAGGAAUAAGUCUCGGCUAACUACGUGCCAGCCGCCGCGGUAAUUC
rnacentral:rRNA from 1 species